UACGUUCAAGGAAUUAUCUGCUCGCUCAUUGAAUCGUUUGGCUUCAUCGACAGAGCUGACAAAGUGAACGAGGUAAAGAAGUUCCCCUCUCAGUGGAGCGUCUACCAGAAGGUACAGUGAAAUUUGAUGAUGUGAGCAAAGACACAUUUCAAGGCACCAUCGAGAAAGUACAUUGUCGGACAAAAAGACAGGAACCGUUAAAUGGUGUGAUAUUAUACAACACAAGCGAUGGUAGUUCACAGCAGCCAUAUUGGGAGAAAGAUGUCUUGGGGGAGUUCACCGUCUUGACUUGGGAUGUUGUUGGUUUUAAAAUUGCUACAGAUCGGCGUGAUUCUUUGCAACGGAAAUUCAUCUCAUCAAGGAAGUGGAAAGCAGCAAUGGAUGCAAUGUCAGAGAAAGAGUAAGUUUUAAUUCUCCUUUACAUUUUCUAGUGUUUAGACUGCGUCAUGAGGAAGCCAUUUCUCCAAAUUUAGCGGGAAAUUGUUUACCUUUAUCACUGUGAUGGCAAAUGUUAAUUGCUUUGAGUUAUGG